rnacentral:siRNA from 1 species
UCUCUGCUACCUAUUGUUCUCUA